rnacentral:rRNA from 1 species
GAUGAACGCUGGCGGCGUGCUUAAUACAUGCAAGUCGAACGGAGGAUUAGCAAUAAUUCUUAGUGGCGAACGGGUGAGUAACGCGUGGGUGACCUGCCCCGAAGAGAGGGAUAACAGUUCGAAAGGACUGCUAAUACCGCAUAAUAUCAUAGAGAUUAGAAGCUUUAUGAUGAAAGGAGCAAUCCGCUUUGGGAGGGGCCUGCGUUCCAUCAGCUAGUUGGUAGGGUCAAGGCCUACCAAGGCGACGACGGAUAGGGGACCUGAGAGGGUGGCCCCACACACUGGCACUGAAACACGGGCCAGACACCUACGGGUGGCAGCAGUAGGGAAUAUUGCACAAUGGGCGAAAGCCUGAUGCAGCAACGCCGCGUGCACGAUGAAGGCCUUCGGGUUGUAAAGUGCUUUUUGGGGAGAUGAGGAAGGACAGUAUCUCCAGAAUAAGGCUUGGCUAACUACGUGCCAGCAGCCGCCGUAAUAC